rnacentral:rRNA from 1 species
AGAGUUUGAUCAUGGCUCAGAAUCAACGCUGGCGGCGCGCCUAACACAUGCAAGUCGAACGAGAAAGGGGAGCAAUCCCUGAGUAAAGUGGCGCACUGGUGAGUAACACGUGGGUCAUCCACCCUUUGGCGGGGAAUAACCCUGGGAAACUGGGGAUAAUACCGCAUAAGUCCGAGAGGAGAAAGUCGAAAGACACCGAAGGAGGAGCCCGCGCCCGAUUAGCUAGUUGGUGAGGUAAGAGCUCACCAAGGCGACGAUCGGUAGCCGGCCUGAGAGGGCACACGGCCACACUGGCACUGAAACACGGGCCAGACUCCUACGGGAGGCAGCAGUGGGGAAUCUUGCACAAUGGGGGAAACCCUGAUGCAGCGACGCCGCGUGAACGAUGAAGCCCUUCGGGGUGUAAAGUUCUUUCGGCAGGGACGAUAAUGACGGUACCUGCAGAAGCAGCUGCGGCUAACUACGUGCCAGCAGCCGCGGUAAUACGUAGGCAGCAAGCGUUGUUCGGAAUUACUGGGCGUAAAGAGUGCGUAGGCGGUUGGCUAAGUUUGAUGUGAAAUCUCCCGGCUUAACUGGGAGGGUGCGUCGAAAACUGGUCAGCUAGAGUGCGGGAGAGGAUAGUGGAAUUCCUGGUGUAGCGGUGAAAUGCGUAGAUAUCAGGAGGAACACCUGAGGUGUAG